UGGCCUUGACAUAGAUAGAAUUUUUUAGAGAUAGAAGAGUGCUAGUUUACUAGAGCUGUCAUAC
rnacentral:rRNA from 1 species